GAGGAAAGUCCGAACUCCCGAAAGACCACACUUGCUGGAUAACGUCCAGUGCGCGCGAGCGUGAGGAUAGUGCCACAGAAAAAUACCGCCCCUUUUUUCAGUGAUUAGUAAACAGUGAUCAGUAAACAGUAACGAAAGUAAAUUCACUGAUAACUGAUAACUUUCCACUGAUAACUUUCCACUGAUAACUGAUAACUGAUAACUGAUAACUGAUUGGGGGUAAGGGUGCAAAGGUGCGGUAAGAGCGCACCAGCAGUAUCGAGAGGUACUGGCUCGGUAAACCCCGGUGGGGAGCAAGGUGGAGGGACAAAGGUUGGUCUUUUUCCUGUCCCGUUCUUAGGAACCGCUUGAGGUAAUUGGUGACAAUUAUCCCAGAUAGAUAACCUCUAUUCCAACAAAGGUAAA
rnacentral:RNase_P_RNA from 1 species